rnacentral:rRNA from 1 species
CCUACGGGAGGCUGCAGUGGGGAAUAUUGGGCAAUGGGCGCAAGCCUGACCCAGCAACGCCGCGUGAAGGAAGAAGGCUUUCGGGUUGUAAACUUCUUUUCUCAGGGACGAAGCAAGUGACGGUACCUGAGGAAUAAGCCACGGCUAACUACGUGCCAGCAGCCGCGGUAAUACGUAGGUGGCAAGCGUUAUCCGGAUUUACUGGGGGUAAAGGGCGUGUAGGCGGGGACGCAAGUCAGAUGUGAAAACCACGGGCUCAACCUGUGGCCUGCAUUUGAAACUGUGUUUCUUGAGUACUGGAGAGGCAGACGGAAUUCCUAGUGUAGCGGUGAAAUGCGUAGAUAUUAGGAGGAACACCAGUGGCGAAGGCGGUCUGCUGGACAGCAACUGACGCUGAGGCGCGAAAGCGUGGGGAGCAAACAGGAUUAGAUACCCGAGUGUC